ACAUGCAAGUCGAACGAAGUAGCAAUACUUAGUGGCAGACGGGUGAGUAACAUGUAGGUAUCUGCCCUUUGGCCUGGAAUAACACGAGGAAACUUGUGCUAAUACCGGAUAAGUCUUUACGGAGAAAGCUUUAUGCACCAUUGGAUGAGCCUGCACUUGAUUAGUUUGUUGGUGGGGUAAUGGCCUACCAAGACUGUGAUCAAUAGCUGAUUUGAGAGGAUGAUCAGCCACAUUGGGACUGAGACACGGCCCAAACUCCUACGGGAGGCAGCAGUGGGGAAUCUUGCACAAUGGAGGAAACUCUGAUGCAGCGAUGCCGCGUGAGUGAAGAAGGCCUUUGGGUUGUAAAGCUCUUUCGUCGGGGAAGAAAAUGACUGUACCCGAAUAAGAAGGUCCGGCUAACUUCGUGCCAGCAGCCGCGGUAAUACGAAGGGACCUAGCGUAGUUCGGAAUUACUGGGCUUAAAGAGUUCGUAGGUGGUUGAAAAAGUUGGUGGUGAAAUCCCAGAGCUUAACUCUGGAACUGCCAUCAAAACUUUUCAGCUAGAGUAUGAUAGAGGAAAGCAGAAUUUCUAGUGUAGAGGUGAAAUUCGUAGAUAUUAGAAAGAAUACCAAUUGCGAAGGCAGCUUUCUGGAUCAUUACUGACACUGAGGAACGAAAGCAUGGGUAGCGAAGAGGAUUAGAUACCCUCGUAGUCCAU
rnacentral:rRNA from 1 species